UACAAAAUUCGAGGUGCAUCAGUUC
rnacentral:piRNA from 1 species